AGGACGAACGCUGGCGGCGUGCCUAACACAUGCAGGUCGAACGGUAACAGGCCCUUCGGGUGGCUGACGAGUGGCGGACGGGUGAGUAAUGCGUAGGAAUCUACCCACGAGUGGGGGAGUAGCCCGGAGAAAUCCGGAUUAAUACCGCAUAUGCCUACCGGGUAAAGACGGGGAGUCGUAAGACCUCGCGCUGGUGGAGUGAGCCUACGUCCGAUUAGUUAGUUGGUGGGGUAAAGGG
rnacentral:rRNA from 1 species